CUCUUCGGGAAGAAGACCCCUUUUCUUCACUGUCAUCUUGACUGCAGGCCUACUGCCCUUUCCGUUAAUUGAGGUGUCAUUCAACAAGGGCUAUUCUGGUUAAUAAACCUUCAAGAAAGGAACGUUGUAACUUUAGACAGCUCCAAGUACUGCAUCCAGAAAGGAGAACUGGCAUCCUAUGGAGAGUGAACCUGAAAGUCAAAACACCGGGAUUUUUGUGAAGGAAAAUAACGGACCAGGCUGCUGUGGUUCCUGCUGCUGGACGGUCGCUGGGGCUGCACGGGCUCUGCAGGACCUGGUUGCACCCGCUACCAUCACAGGGUCCCCCAGCGGCGCCAGUUCCUGAACCGUCGGCUUCAAAGAGAGGUGGGGAGUUGUUU